GUUCGACCCGAGCGAAGCGAGGAUGAGAACCUCCGGGGGCGGGAGGUUCGACCCGAGCGAAGCGAGAGAACGUUGCGCGAGCAACGGCCCGCAGGGCGAGCCACGUAGUGGUGAGUCAUCCUCUAUCACCGACCA
rnacentral:sRNA from 1 species